CUUCAUUAAUCUCGGAAAUGAAUCACUCUUUGACCUUUGUUUGGACAUCUGGCCUCGUGGGGAUGGUCAACUUGGCUACUGAUGGAUGGUCUCGACACCCAAACUUGGCACUGUGUGGCGAUCUGGAUUUGGGUGUCAAGAGUGACGAUCUCAUCCCUGGUGAAAGAGCGGUGCCAACUUCUCCAACAUUGGCAGGACACUGUUGCUGGUAUGUUGUUGGUUGGAAGAUGAUGUCAUCAAAAGUCUAUCUCCAGUGUGGCCCAUAUGGUCCUGAGGGUAUACCAUAAAACCUGAUAGAGUGAAUAGGACAUCCAGUUGCAACCAUGUCUCCUGGAUGACAAUCACCUUAAUUAAGAAAACCAUCUUGCAUUUAAUAAUUGUAGCUGAUUGGCUCGUACACCUCUUGCGUUCCACUGGACUACAUAAAGUUUGUCCAUCAAAUGACU
rnacentral:lncRNA from 1 species